AACCUACCUUUUAGUACGGGACAACGUUUGGAAACGAACGCUAAUACCGUAUACGCCCUCCGGGGGAAAGGUCAGCCGCUGAAAGAGGGGCCCGCGUCUGAUUAGCUUGUUGGUAAGGUAACGGCUUACCAAGGCAACGAUCAGUAGCUGGUCUGAGAGGAUGAUCAGCCACACUGGGACUGAGACACGGCCCAGACUCCUACGGGAGGCAGCAGUGGGGAAUAUUGGACAAUGGAGGCAACUCUGAUCCAGCAAUGCCGCGUGUGUGAUGAAGGCCCUAGGGUUGUAAAGCACUUUCAACGGUGAAGAUGAUGACGGUAGCCGUAGAAGAAGCCCCGGCUAACUUCGUGCCAGCAGCCGCGGUAAUACGAAGGGGGCGAGCGU
rnacentral:rRNA from 1 species